rnacentral:rRNA from 1 species
UACGGAGGGUGCAAGCGUUAUCCGGAUUCACUGGUUAAAGGUGCGCAGGCGGCCAAGUGUGUGAGGCGUGAAAGCCCGGGCUUAACCCGGAAUUGCACCUCAAACUACAUGGCUAGAGCAUUGGAGAGGUAGCAGAAUUCACGGUGUAGCAGUGAAAUGCGUAGAUAAUCGUGAGGAAUACCAGAGGCGAAGGCGGCUACCUGGACGAAUUGCUGACGCUCGAGCACGAAGCGUGGGAGCAAAAGGAUAG